rnacentral:rRNA from 1 species
GGGGGCCCGCACAANCAGUGGAGCAUGUGGUUUAAUUCGAAGCAACGCGAAGAACCUUACCAGGUCUUGACAUCCUCUGCCACUCCUAGAGAUAGGACGUUCCCCUUCGGGGGACAGANUGACAGGUGGUGCAUGGUUGUCGUCAGCUCGUGUCGUGAGAUGUUGGGUUAAGUCCCGCAACGAGCGCAACCCUUGAUCUUAGUUGCCAGCAUUCAGUUGGGCACUCUAAGGUGACUGCCGGUGACAAACCGGAGGAAGGUGGGGACGACGUCAAAUCAUCAUGCCCCUUAUGACCUGGGCUACACACGUGCUACAAUGGACGGUACAAAGGGCAGCGACACCGCGAGGUGAAGCGAAUCCCAUAAAGCCGUUCUCAGUUCGGAUUGUAGGCUGCAACUCGCCUACAUGAAGCCGGAAUUGCUAGUAAUCGCGGAUCAGCAUGCCGCGGUGAAUACGUUCCCGGGCCUUGUACACACCGCCCGUCACACCACGAGAGUUUGUAACACCCGAAGUCGGUGAGGUAACCUUUUGGAGCCAG